GACACUUGUCACCACCACAACGGACUAGCGAAACCAACAAAAACCAAAAUGAGAACGUAGACCCAACCAUUUUCCAAAACACUUCUCUCUCUUCACUCCAAAAUCAAAAUUUCUCUGCAAUUCAAAUCACCUUCUCCGAUUGCAACCCACCGGAGAAGACGGUGGUUGCCGACCAAUAGCGGCGACGCCACCUUCUUCUCCGGCAAACCACUACACAAAAACCCAAAUCUAAAAACACUAACCCCUCCUUAUUUAGGCUUGUGAUUAUGAAUUUGACCCCAAAAUAACCAAAAUCCUAACCAAACUCCAGAUCGGAAACCCUAAAGCGAAAACCCUAACUCAGACAAAACAAAAUUAAACCCAAAAUCAAAGGCAUCUCAAGCAAUUACUAAAGGAACAAAGAUCAGCAAAAGGAGUUCUACAUCUUAACAAUUUCAAAAAGGCAAAAAGAGCUCAAGACUACCUAAUCGGAGAGACUCCGACGUGAUUUCGGUAACGACUCGAAGGUUAUGUACGUGAUGGCUUGAGGGCGUACGUUUGAAGCUUCUUCCAUUAGUUUAGAUUAUGCUGUAAUUUAAGUCCUAAGAUUGUUGUAACAGCCUGUGUGAGGUGCUUGUAUUAUUGGUAUUUGAAAUAAUUAUGCUUGUAAAUCCAGAACUUAUGGUUCAGUUAAUGUAAAUUCAAAUUAAUAUCUCAAACCACAUGAGUUUGUGUACGAAA